rnacentral:rRNA from 1 species
AUUCCUUGUCGGGUAAGUUCCGACCCGCACGAAAGGCGUAACGAUUUGGGCACUGUCUCAACAACAGACUCGGUGAAAUUGUAAUUCCGGUGAAGAUGCCGGAUACCUGCGACAGGACGGAAAGACCCCAUGGAGCUUUACUGUAGCUUGACAUUGGGUCUUGGUACUACAUGUACAGGAUAGGUGGGAGGCUUUGAAACCAGGACGCCAGUUUUGGCGGAGCCAUCCUUGGGAUACCACCCUUGUAGUACUGGGACUCUAACCAUAGGCCAUGAAUCUGGUCUUGGGACACUGUCAGGUGGGCAGUUUGACUGGGGCGGUCGCCUCCCAAAAGGUAACGGAGGCGCUCAAAGGUUCUCUCAGUACGGUCGGAAAUCGUACGUAGAGUGUAAAGGCAAAAGAGAGCUUGAUUGCAAGACAUACAGGUCGAGCAAGGAUGAAAAUCGGACUUAGUGAUCCGGUGGUUCUGCGUGGAAGGGCCAUCGCUCAACGGAUAAAAGCUACCCUGGGGAUAACAGGCUUAUCUCCCCCAAGAGUCCACAUCGACGGGGAGGUUUGGCACCUCGAUGUCGGCUCAUCACAUCCUGGGGCUGUAGUAGGUCCCAAGGGUUGGGCUGUUCGCCCAUUAAAGUGGUACGCGAGCUGGGUUCAGAACGUCGUGAGACAGUUCGGUCCCUAUCCGUCGCAGGCGUAGGAAAUUUGAGAAGACCUGUCCUUAGUACGAGAGGACCGGGAUGGACGUACCUCUGGUGUACAAGUUGUCCUGCCAAGGGCAUGGCUGGGUAGCUAUGUACGGAAUGGAUAAGCGCUGAAAGCAUCUAAGCGCGAAGCCAACUUCAAGAUAAGAUUUCCCACCGCAAGGGUAAGACCCCAGAAAGACUAUCUGGUUGAUAGGUCGAAGGUGUAAGUGCAGCAAUGUAUUUAGCUUAUCGAUGCUAAUAGGUCGAGGACUUGACCAAU